GAUGAACGCUGGCGGCGUGCUUAACACAUGCAAGUCGAACGAAGCAUUUAGAACAGAUUACUUCGGUUUGAAGUUCUAUAUGACUGAGUGGCGGACGGGUGAGUAACGCGUGGGUAACCUGCCUUGUACUGGGGGAUAGCAGCUGGAAACGGCUGGCAAUACCGCAUAAGCGCACAAUGUUGCAUGACAUGGUGUGAAAAACUCCGGUGGUAUAAGAUGGACCCGCGUCUGAUUAGCUAGUUGGUGAGAUAACAGCCCACCAAGGCGACGAUCAGUAGCCGACCUGAGAGGGUGACCGGCCACAUUGGGACUGAGACACGGCCCAGACUCCUACGGGAGGCAGCAGUGGGGAAUAUUGCACAAUGGAGGAAACUCUGAUGCAGCGACGCCGCGUGAGUGAAGAAGUAAUUCGUUAUGUAAAGCUCUAUCAGCAGGGAAGAUAGUGUCGGUACCUGACUAAGAAGCUCCGGCUAAAUACGUGCCAGCAGCCGCCGUAA
rnacentral:rRNA from 1 species